UCCAAAUUCAGCAUUAGUACACCCUCUCUCAUUAUACUCUAGCUUCUCUAGGCCUAUCUCAACUCUUUUCAUCCCUACACUCAUCAUCAUGCAUUCACACAUGCAAAUCAACCAACUCUCAAGUUCAUUAAGCAUAGCAUCAAGUGAAUUCUUGCAAAUGGUCAAUUGGUCCAAAUCAUUUGGGUAAGGGGAGGCUUUUUAAUCAAGUAAGUCAAGGAGUUCAAGAUACAUGAUCUUUUAAUGUGGUUUACUCUCAAAAUAAGUAGCCUUGACAUUGCACAUAAUAUAUUUAAGAAAUGAACCAACUCAUGCAUACAAUGCUCAAUCUCCAUUGUUCUACCCUUUUCCCAAACGUACAAGUUACACAAUCACUUCCCAAUGUCAAACCC
rnacentral:lncRNA from 1 species